rnacentral:lncRNA from 1 species
CCCCAAUGGGACACACGGAGAUGGGAUUCUGGUGGGGAGCUGGAGGGCUGGGGGUGAGGAGACCCCCUGUGGAGUUUUUCCUGCUUUAUUUUCCUCACUCGUGACUGCGGAGGGCACUCGUGGCUCAGGGCUUUGCAGCUGGAUUCAAUCAUCUCCGUGCGGCUUUUGGCAGCUCCGUCACCAGACCUGACGGUGACGGUCUCCCAGGGGGCAGCGGAUGGCAGAGCAACGCUCCAGCUCACUCCUUCUGCUUCCAUCCCCGUUGAAUGUUAUUCAGCUGCCUCUCCUUGACUUUGGUGCUUACUCUCAUGGUGUUGCCUUGGCUGGGGCUCUCUGAUGCCCCCAGACCACGGUGCUGCCUAUUCUGGCUCAUGCCUAAGUAGGAGCACAGGCACAGCUAAGGAAAUACAGACCUACAACUGAGAUUCAAAUACAAUACACCACCCCUCCAAGAAACAAACACACAUCGCUGCCUCUCCUGUGCUUUGGAGUGGUUUAGAGACAACGUGGAACUGGGGAAGAAAACGGCAAUUUGGGCUCUCCAAGGAAGCCAGCAGAGACACAGCUCUCAUCAUCACAUCCCUCUCGGGUAAUUUGGUCAAAAACCAGGUGAUACCCACUCUCAACAUGCAACAGAAGCAGACAGUGAGCAGGCACUUUCCAUACAAGGCUGCUGAGCUUCACAAGAGAAAGAAAACCAAUCACCAGUCCCCUAGGGAGCAAGGUUCAGCAUUUACCUCAUCUGCAAGUCGGAGAAGCAUACGCAGAAAUCUGGCCAGAUGCAUCUGUCUCGCUGACAGCUCGCCUCUUCCAGAGUAAUCUGUCCGAUACAGAGCUGUCGCACUGUCCACUAUCAGCAGUGCAUACCUGGAGAAGUUACAUAAAGCAUUCUCAGAGGUGAAUAAUGUGACCAUCUGAGUCAACUGUGAGCUGCAUGCAGAUGUGGAUGUAAGCCCUUCUCACCUGCCAGUUAGCAGAACUGUUAUUUUUACCACUACAGACUCAAUCUGCAGUGUUCAGAUUACUAUGAAAUAAAACUCUUUAUACCAUGGGUAUUCUGUACACCUCAGGUAAACAGGUCCCUGUAUACCUCAUAGCACCACCCCCCUUCCUUCCAAAGGGUCUCAUAAACCUCAGUUUCAAACUAAAGCUAUCUGCACACGUCCUGGUCUUGGCUGGGAUUGUUAUUCUUCUUCAUAGUGGAUGGUAUGCUACUGUGUUUUGGGAAAGAAAAAAAAAAUAAAGGUAACAAAAAUGUGGAUAAUACAUUGAUAGCUGCUGUGCUUACAUUGAGUCAAGGACUCUUCAGCUCCUCCUGCUGCCCUGCCUGUGAGGAGCUGGGAAAGAACCAGAACAGCUGACCCAGGCUGGCCAAAGGGAUAUCCUAUACCAUAUACAGCAUCACGCUGAACAACAAAACUGGGGGAGACUGCUACUGCUCAGUGAUAAGCAGAGCAUUGGUCAGCAGGUGGUGAGUAACUGCACUGUGCAUCGUUUUUGUAGCAGUUGUGUUUUGUUUUCUUUCUUAUUAAACUGUCUUUAUCUCAGCCCAAGAGUUCUUGCUUUUUUUUACUGCCUUCAGUUCUCUCCCCCACCCUCUUGGGGUCCGGGAGGUGAACAGCUGGUGCUUAGCUGCCUGCCAGGGUAAACCACAACAACUGCACUGCUCUAAACCAACUCUCUUUCUGAAAGCAAUUAUAUAAUGUGAUCCUUAAAGUUGUUUCUCAGGCUGGCACUCAUUCUUUGUCAAGUGAGAUCCGUUGUCACAGCUCAAGUCAGUUGCUACCAUCCAACAUUUCAAAAGCAACA